rnacentral:rRNA from 1 species
CGAACGCUGGCGGCGUGCUUAACACAUGCAAGUCGAACGGAAAGGCCCUGCUUUUGUGGGGUGCUCGAGUGGCGAACGGGUGAGUAGCACGUGAGUAACCUGCCUUGACUUUGGGAUAACUUCAGGAAACUGGGGCUAAUACCGGAUAGGAGCUCCUGCUGCAUGGUGGGGGUUGGAAAGUUUCGGCGGUUGGGGAUGGACUCGCGGCUUAUCAGCUUGUUGGUGGGGUAGUGGCUUACCAAGGCUUUGACGGGUAGCCGGCCUGAGAGGGUGACCGGCCACAUUGGGACUGAGAUACGGCCCAGACUCCUACGGGAGGCAGCAGUGGGGAAUAUUGCACAAUGGGCGGAAGCCUGAUGCAGCAACGCCGCGUGCGGGAUGACGGCCUUCGGGUUGUAAACCGCUUUCGCCUGUGACGAAGCGUGAGUGACGGUAAUGGGUAAAGAAGCACCGGCUAACUACGUGCCAGCAGCCGCGGUGAUACGUAGGGUGCGAGCGUUGUCCGGAUUUAUUGGGCGUAAAGGGCUCGUAGGUGGUUGAUCGCGUCGGAAGUGUAAUCUUGGGGCUUAACCCUGAGCGUGCUUUCGAUACGGGUUGACUUGAGGAAGGUAGGGGAGAAUGGAAUUCCUGGUGGAGCGGUGGAAUGCGCAGAUAUCAGGAGGAACGCCAGUGGCGAAGGCGGUUCUCUGGGCCUUUCCUGACGCUGAGGAGCGAAAGCGUGGGGAGCGAACAGGCUUAGAUACCCUGGUAGUCCACGCUGUAAACGGUGGGUACUAGGUGUGGGGUCCAUUCCACGGGUUCCGUGCCGUAGCUAACGCUUUAAGUACCCCGCCUGGGGAGUACGGCCGCAAGGCUAAAACUCAAAGGAAUUGACGGGGCCCCGCACAAGCGGCGGAGCAUGCGGAUUAAUUCGAUGCAACGCGUAGAACCUUACCUGGGUUUGACAUGGAUCGGGAGUGCUCAGAGAUGGGUGUGCCUCUUUUGGGGUCGGUUCACAGGUGGUGCAUGGCUGUCGUCAGCUCGUGUCGUGAGAUGUUGGGUUAAGUCCCGCAACGAGCGCAACCCUUGUUCACUGUUGCCAGCACGUUAUGGUGGGGACUCAGUGGAGACCGCCGGGGUCAACUCGGAGGAAGGUGGGGAUGACGUCAAGUCAUCAUGCCCCUUAUGUCCAGGGCUUCACGCAUGCUACAAUGGCUGGUACAGAGAGUGGCGAGCCUGUGAGGGUGAGCGAAUCUCGGAAAGCCGGUCUCAGUUCGGAUUGGGGUCUGCAACUCGACCUCAUGAAGUCGGAGUCGCUAGUAAUCGCAGAUCAGCAACGCUGCGGUGAAUACGUUCCCGGGGCUUGUACACACCGCCCGUCAAGUCAUGAAAGUUGGUAACACCCGAAGCCGGUGGCCUAACCGUUGUGGGGGAGCCGUCGAAGGUGGGACUGGUGAUUAG